UACGGGGGGGGGCAAGCGUUGUUCGGAAUUACUGGGCGUAAAGGCUCGUAGGCGGCCAACUAAGUCAGACGUGAAAUCCCCAGGCUUAACCUGGGAACUGCGUCUGAUACUGGAUGGCUUGAAUUCGGGAGAGGGAUGCAGAAUUCCAGGUGUAGCGGUGAAAUGCGUAGAUAUCUGGAGGAAUACCGGUGGCGAAGGCGGCAUCCUGGACCGAGAUUGACGCUGAUGAGCGAAAGCUAGGGGAGCAAACGGG
rnacentral:rRNA from 1 species